UACGUAGGGAGCAAGCGUUGUCCGGAAUCAUUGGGCGUAAAGAGCGUGUAGGCGGCCAUGUAGGUCCGUUGUGAAAACUCGAGGCUCAACCUCGAGACGCCGAUGGAAACCAUGUGGCUAGAGUCCGGAAGGGGAGCGUGGAAUUCCUGGUGUAGCGGUGAAAUGCGCAGAUAUCAGGAAGAACACCCGUGGCUAAGGCGGCUCUCUAGUACGGUACCGACGCUGAGACGCGAAAGCGUGGGGAGCGAACAGG
rnacentral:rRNA from 1 species